rnacentral:lncRNA from 1 species
UCUGUCAGUUAUGUGGCUGUCUAGGUCACAAUUUGUAUCAUUGUUCAAAAACGAAUAAAUUGAACAAAAAUGGAGAGGACCCGGAAUCUCCCUGUAGAAACAAUGAAGAAAAAAAGUUAACAUCAACGAUGAAGAAAAAAAGUUAAAUCUAGAAAAAAAUGAAAAAACAAUAAAAGAAGGGAAAAAUGAAAAAGAAAAAAAGGAAGAAAAAGAAAAGAUGAAUAUUUGUGGACUACUGUU